GACGAACGCUGGCGGCGUGCUUAACACAUGCAAGUCGAACGGAAAGGCCCUGCUUUUGUGGGGUGCUCGAGUGGCGAACGGGUGAGUAACACGUGAGUAACCUGCCCUUGACUUUGGGUUAACUUCAGGAAACUGGGGCUAAUACCGGAUAGGAGCUCCUGCUGCAUGGUGGGGGUCGGAAAGCUUCGGCGGUUGGGGAUGGACUCGCGGCUUAUCAGCUUGUUGGUGGGGUAGUGGCUUACCAAGGCUUUGACGGGUAGCCGGCCUGAGAGGGUGACCGGCCACAUUGGGACUGAGAUACGGCGCAGACUCCUACGGGAGGCAGCAGUGGGGAAUAUUGCACAAUGGGCGGAAGCCUGAUGCAGCAACGCCGCGUGCGGGAUGACGGCCUUCGGGUUGUAAACCGCUUUCGCCUGUGACGAAGCGUGAGUGACGGUAAUGGGUAAAGAAGCACCGGCUAACUACGUG
rnacentral:rRNA from 1 species